rnacentral:rRNA from 1 species
CGGAGGAUGCAAGCGUUAUCCGGAAUGAUUGGGCGUAAAGCGUCCGCAGGUGGCAGUUCAAGUCUGCUGUCAAAGACCGGGGCUUAACUUCGGAAAGGCAGUGGAAACUGAACAGCUAGAGUAUGGUAGGGGCAGAGGGAAUUCCUGGUGUAGCGGUGAAAUGCGUAGAGAUCAGGAAGAACAUCGGUGGCGAAGGCGCUCUGCUGGACCAUAACUGACACUCAGGACGAAAGCUAGGGAGCGAAUGGGAUU